rnacentral:rRNA from 1 species
CAGUAGGGAGGAAGGUAGUGUAGUUAACACCUGCAUUAUUGUACGUUACCUACAGAAGAAGACACCGGCUAACUCCGUCGCCAGCAGCCGCGGUAAUACGGGAGGGUGCGAGACGUUAAGUACGGUAAUUACGUGGGACGUAAAGCGCAUGCAGGCGGCCGUGUUAAGUCAGAUGUAGAAACGGCCCGGGGACCGUUAACCGUACGGUAAGUUGCUAUUUAGUAAACGUGGCGAGGCUAGAGUCUUGUAGAGGGGGGUAGGAAUUUCAGGUGUAGCGGUGAAAUGCGUAGAGAUCUGAAGGAAUACCAGUGGCGAAGGCGGCCCCCUGGACAAAGACUGACGCUCAGAUGCGAAAGCGUGGGGAGCAAACAGGAUUAGAUACCCUGGUAG